GGUGGUGUUGGUUUCUGGAUAUAUCACAAAAAUACAAAACCAAACAGUUGUACAAACCAACAACAAGGGGGCAAAGCAGGAGAAGCAGAAGAGGAAGUCGCUUUCAAUAUGCCAGCGGUUUAUCAAGAUCAGAGGACACCAAAGCGCUUCACGCUACAGCCAGUCAUUCACACACACAAGCUGAUGGUUUCAAGUCUGACAGAAGUGAGCCUGCUAUGCAUCAGCGUCACCAGGUCCUCUGACCACCAGCAGGCGAGGCAGAUGAACUGUCCUGCCCAAGGACACGACGACAGAGGCAGGUGGAGCCAGGAUAGAACCAGCAACCUGCCGACUGCAGGGCAAAGUCCUCCAACAGUAAAUCAAUGACUUCAUGUGAAACAAAACUAAGUCUUUUGUACAGUUUUGUAAGAAACCUGUAUACUCAGAAUCUCAUCAGUGACUUUAUCCACAGGAACCUGACAUAAAAUUUUAAUAUUGCUAAUAUGUUUUUAGGUCUUCUGAAAACCUUAAAAAAAACCUGAACAUCUAAUAUUACAGUUUUUGUUGUUGUGUUUUCUUAUUUACAGAUAAAAAGGCAUGAGUGGAUAACUUUGUACAUAAUAAAUUUCCUUUAUUUUCA